rnacentral:lncRNA from 1 species
CCGUCGCAUGCACCUUCCUUCCUGAAUUCCUCGCAACAUUCCCUCUUUCAACAAGAUUUUCGAAAUCUAUCCCCUCACCCUUGGCCUCCAAAAUAACAAAACGAGAACCUUCAAAUCGGCCAUGAUCGCCAACAUUCCUACCUUGCGAUGAGUCACUCAUCUUACCCCUCUGUCGACGUUCGACAACCAUCCAUGGGCCAAAUUCCUCCUCCUUGGCCCUAGAUUGGAGAUUUGACUUUUGAACUCUCGAACCACCUUCCACCGUCGUAUCCUCCGCCAUAGGCGCAUUUUUCUCGUAGCACAGCGUCGAGCUGUGGCCAUAGAGCCCACACGAGAAACAAAUAUUGGGUUAUCCUUCGUAUUCAACUCUUUGAAUCCUUCCAUUUAUUCUUAUUUUUGAAACUAAUGGCUUUUGCAGAUCCACACUAACAACCAGUCUCGUAAAUCUCUCUCUGACUGCUGCAUCUGUUCCAGCAUCAAUCUGAAACACUAGUCUGAUCAUACUUUCGAUGGUCCUUAGCAAAAAGUCAGAGUAAAACCCUUCAAACAGUCCUAGUAAUUGGAUCCAAACCAGUUGUUUGUCCACCUCACUGUUACUUGUUGAGAAAUCCGCAGACCAAGCUCUCACCGACAAGUAAUGACCGAAUACCACCCAUGGGCCACCCAACAGUACCUUGUCAAAGUCACCCUUAUCUUGGAAAUGGACAAGGUAAAAAUCGUUCUCCAGAUCCAAUAACUGAAAUUUACCUUUUAAAUUUCAUAGAGCAGAUACCUUAUUGAGCAAGGCUUUGAAACCUAUUUUCCUACCCAACAGCUUGAUCACAACUGUUAGAGCCAUUUUCUUUUCAAUGAAUCUAUGAACCUGAUCCGAAAACGUAAUGGAAGGGAUCCCGUUACCAUCUCUGUCGUCCCAUCCGUAUCUUGUAACUCAAAGUCCUCAUCCAUACAAACAUCCCCAUUUGGAAUCGAUAAAGCACCCAUUAACUUAGCCUUAUACGAGUCCUUUGCUACAUUGUCCUCUUGCACUGUCUGGCCAUUCCCAUCUAUUAUCGGAUCAGUCAUUAUCUCUGGCUGACGCCUGACCCUUUUCGUAGCCCUUCCAACACCACAGUCCGAGGCUAUAGAGUUAGAACCAAUAGCAAAGUUAACCAACGAGAGAGUUUCAGACAUGUUAAAAUCCUCUUCUCUAUUUCUAUUUUUUUAAUAAUUGGGUAAUGAAAAUGGAUAUUAAGGAUUGAAUCCAAAUAAGAGUCUUAUUUUCUUUUGGGCCAUAAAAGAAAUUCAUUCCAUAAAAAAGAUUUAUUAAGAGUGGAACAUGACUUGUAGCUUUGGUUGGUUUGAUUUAAAAAUAUUUGAUUUGUCAGAAUUAGUUGCGGAAAAUUAAGGUCCUUCUAGUACUUAAUCAACAUAUUUUAUAGUAUUUUUAUAUGUUUUGAUUUCAUUUUUAGUUUUUAUUGUUUUAUGUUUAAAUUAUGCAAAAUAAACGUUUUUAUACAAUUUUGAGUUAUGUAAUAAUCUAAUGGGCCACUAUGGGCUUAGGGAUGAUCUAACGACUCUAUCUAGUGUGUAGGACACUGUUUUUGGGCUUAGAAAACGAAGGACGACUGUAGCAUUGAAACACGUGACACCGAGGAGUGGUGUCCAAAGUACCCAGAAAUUAAAGGCAGUGUCACGACACCAGUCUUGUGGUGUCACAACAUCAAGUGAAGAGAUGAAAUUUUAAUUAAGGUAUUUUUUGUCCACACAAAGUAACUUAAACAGCUUUUUUGGGUUGUUUAAUAACCUUAAUUAGGUCUGAUCAUAAACUCUAUAAAUAGAUAUUUUAAGUCUCAUUUGAGGAGGCUUGACUAAUUGAGUCACUUAGUUAUUUUAGGGUUUUACUUUAGUUUUUAUUUUCUUCCAAUUUAAUCCUUUACAUACUUUUUGUUCUUGUUUAACUUGGAUUCAAUUGUGCUCCAAUAGUUUAAUAUAUUAGUUUUUUUGUUAUUUCUUCGUGGAUUCCAAUUGCAAUCGAAGGGAUCUUCGUGACUAUCAAAGGAGAUUCGCUUUCGAGCUCAAAUCGAUAUUGAAACGAACUUAUUUUUCUAUUCCUUACUUUUAUUUAAUUUACUGUUUUUUUAUGUUAAAUAUGAGUUUAAGGAUUAUUGCAUCUAGACCACGAAGAGCUAAUUUCCUUAGGGAGAUUAACGAACGAAUGUGUGACUAAUUAACGGAUGAAUUAAGGUUGAGAUUCGAGUUAGCUGGUUUAAAUUAUGUGCGACUAAACCCUAGGAAGUAACACCCCUAGGAAGUAAUUUAGGAUAAACGAGAUCGAGAGAUAAGUUUACUGAGUACCUCAUAAUUUAUCCAGGUUAAGAAAGUGAGAACAAGAGGUAAGCGAGUAUUGGUCGAUUAGUUAAUUAGUUAGAGACUGAAAGGUAAUAAUUGAUUAAUUAAUAGCUAACUCGAUAAAACCUAAGUUCUGAAGUUAAUUAGGAGCACUGAAGUGAGUUGAUAUCCUUCUUGUUUUAUUGGAUUAAAUUUGGUUGUUAAUUGGUUGAUUUUUAGUUUAAUUUAAUUAAUUGAUGUUAAUUUUAUUUUUUGUAAUAUAAUUUUAAAUUGAUAUUAUUUAACCUCAUUAAUGUAGAGAGUUAAUUUAGGUCUAAUUCAACCUCCCUUGAGUAUGAUCCUUGGAAUGUUUCUCGAAGUGUUUUUUUGUAAUACUAAUCUGUAUUACAAUUUGACCUGUAUAUUUGCGGACAUCACUGUUUAAUUAUUUAUCUAUUUUAUUGCAAUAUUUUUAGUUCAGGUGUUCGCAACAUUGACCAUUUGGGUAAUGAUGUUUGGUAGAUUAGAGAAGAAUAAAUCAUAAUUUGGGGAAACUUCCCUCAGAGUCAAGACACUCUCUUAUUGGUGUCGCGGCAUUGAUUUUUUGUCCUCGUAGUCGCGAUUCUCCCCUAUUAAGGUUGCAACAUUGAAUCCCCCUGCCUUCAAGGUCGCAACUCACCUCGAUUAAAGUCGCGAUGCAUGUUUCUGUCUUCAAUGUUAUGAUAUGUCUACAUCAUGGUCGUGAUAUCUCAUUUGUCUUUUGAAAAUUUUACGUUUUAUUCCUUCCAUUAAUAUCGAUGUUAACAAGGGAUUUCAUAUACUAGUUUAUAAUCUGAAUUUAAUUUAAUAAUACGGUUAUUAAGUUUUGGAACCUGAUAACUUGUUUAUUAGAUAUGCAAAUGCAAUUGUCGUUGUUUUGACAACAAAUUUAACAUUUCACAUCUCGGAUCUCGCGAUUAGUUCAGGUGUGGGAUGUUGUAUAUUACCAUAAUCUUAUUCACACAUAUGAUUUGCUUGGAUGGUAACCAAGUCCUGGUGGCAAUAGCUUGCAACGCAACAUAUGUCAGUUCCAACUCAAAAAAUUCUAAAAUCUUGCCCAUUAGGCCAAAUCUUCCUCAAUCCGUUAGUAAAAAGUUCUACCAAAUUGUCCUUGUCAAGGGUGGAGUCCGUCUUCUCUUGAAUGCUUCAAAUACUUGAUGAUAGUUGGACUAAAGAUGAAAUAAAGUCCACGAACAUAUGUUUGCAUAAAGUGUUUAUCAUUAGGAUCAGUGACUGUCUUCUAAAGAUUGGUCCAAAACCAUUUUUUGGACAUAAGGCUUGACACAAC